rnacentral:rRNA from 1 species
UGGAAUUUCCUGUGUAGCGGUAAAAUGCGUAGAUAUAGGAAGGAACGCCAGUGGCGAAGGCAACCACCUGGACUGAUACUGACACUGAGGUGCGAAGGCGUGGGGAGCAAACAGGAUUAGAUACCCUGGUAGUCCACGCCGUAAACGAUGUCAACAAGCCGUUGGGACCCUUGAGCUCUUAGUGGCGCAGCUAACGCAUUAAGUUGACCGCCUGGGGAGUACGGCCGCAAGGUUAAAACUCAAAUGAAUUGACGGGGGCCCGCACAAGCGGUGGACCAUGUGGUUUAAUUCGAAGCAACGCCAAGAACCUUACGAGGCCUUGACAUCCAA